GAAACUUUAACUGUAGGAUGGACUGACAAAUUUGGACAAAGUUGCUGUGGGCAAUAGAUUAAAAGUGUGGAUGUGUUUAUAACAAGAAAAAAGUUUUAUUUUCUGUUUUGUUUUAUCUUUUCAAGGGCAGUCACCUUGUGGACACUCACAGGAGUUACAGAGGAGAAUUACAGUGGAGAUGCCACGAAACACUGCUGUUGAAGGAGGAUAUUCUGCACCUUUUUCUUCACUGACAUUUUGGUUGCAGACUCGCAUAUUGCUAGUCUUGCGAAGACAAGGAGGUGCACGCAGCACAGAUAUGAAUUUCUGUCUCUAUUAAGGAGCUGAGUGCUUAGGGGAGUUGUGAAGCAUUUGCUUUUUAUUUUGAAGUCUGUGCAUACAAUUUGCUAUGUUUUGGAAUAGCAAGGAUGUUAAAUCUGGAUUUGUAAUAUUUAAAAGGCUUUGUAAUUAAUGCUCAAUGAUAUAAUUAAUCAUAACAGUUUGAAAACAAGAUAAAACCAAAAACGCUAUGACAAAACAGUGUUUCUAGGUGAGUUAAUGCAUGCUCCAAGUUUCAUCAACUUUUAAAAUGGAGCUGGGGGGUCACUUUCAGAAUUAAGGUUUUCAAACAUCCCUGUGCUGCUCUGUUUUUCAGUUCUGCAUACAGGAAGUUGAUCUUGAUUAUACUGCUGCUUUAGUAUAUAAUUGUUCUAGGAACUGAAUGUUGACUUAGCGUCCUGUGCAAGAUAUUUCUGUCUCUGUACCUGUUUUAUUGUGGUAACUGAAAGGCUGGCUGGCUGUUGUAAAUACUUUCCACUGCUCCUCUAUUCAGAAUCAUCUUGUCCUCCUGCCAUGUCAGAUGGUAAGAUUAC
rnacentral:lncRNA from 1 species